rnacentral:rRNA from 1 species
GACAGAGGGUGCAAACGUUGUUCGGAAUUACUGGGCGUAAAGCGCGUGUAGGCUGCUCGGAAAGUCGGAUGUGAAAGCCCUGGGCUCAACCCAGGAAGUGCACUCGAAACUCCCGAGCUGGAGUCCCGGAGAGGAAGGCGGAAUUCUCGGUGUAGAGGUGAAAUGCGUAGAUAUCGGGGGGAACACCAGUGGCGAAGGCGGCGACCUGGGCCAAUACUGACGCUGAGGUGCGAAAGCGUGGGGAGCAAACAGG